CCUCCUUCUGGGGAAAGCACAGCUGGGCAGAGGAGCCAGAGAAGGAAUCACUGGUCUAGAGCUGCUUCCUCCUGCGCUCCCAAGGCAGGACAUUAGAACCCAGGACCUCAGGCCCACCGGCAAGACAGGGUUUGAAGGUGGAGGGUGCAGCGUCUUUUUCUCUGAUCUGGAGGGUGAAAGGUGGCCGCUACCCCAGGUUUCUUCUCUACAGCUGAGUGCACCGAGGUUUCAGAACCGCCUGUCUCCCAUGGAAGGUUAACGAAAGCUCCAGGCACGUCCUGACCCGCUCAUACCCCCAACGAGAAGCAUCACUGGUUACAAUGGCAGCAGCAGUGUGAUAUCCCCCCACACCCUCUGCCACCCCAACAUCUGCAGGCUGCUGAGCAGUAUGGGGCUGGAGAAGACACAGGAGGGGCUGAGGCAAACUGGGACAGGGGCACUUCUCACUCCCCCACCGGCUCCCUACCAGCACAGCGCAGAUGCUUUGGUGCCCGGGACCCAGUGAAGAACCCCACUAUCAGGUAAUCCCCCCUCUCUGAGUUCAGAGGAGAGAAAUGCAGAUAAUCAACUCACCGCAUUGAUCCUCUGGAAUUUUUGUAAACCCCCUGCUCCCUCAAACUCACAUGCAGCAUUUCCUGACCCAGCAGAACGUGAGGUCUGGAAUGCGACUAGCCAACCAAUUCUCCCAAGAACCCUAGAUCCAAUGGGUUGGAUCUCACUGUCUGCCAGGCCACUCAACGCAAAAUACCAAAAGGGAGGUGGAUAGUACCCCCAGGAGCUGGCUGGGGUUCAGUGCCCUGCUGCCCGCUGGCCUAAGGGAUCAGGGUUCUCAGAUCAGUGCCCUGCCCCAACCCCCAGAGCAUCAACACCCAGAGCACAAGUUGGUGAGGACGGGGAGUGUCCUUGAAUAAAGUCAGAGUACUUGGAAUCUGAUUGUUCAAAGGAGAAAAACUGCAUCUCUUUAGGAUUUUCACUUCCCAAGGAGAAGUGCUGCAUCAGGAAACUUCCACACUGUGGCCAUCCACUCCCACAGUUUCAAAAAGUCCCUUUGAGUUUCUUCUGAUGCACGAGAUUGGAAGUUCUUGAAAGCAAGAGCCUCAUCUACCAUCUUCACAUUGCCUCCAGCACCCAGCAAAGAACGGUCUCAGGCACUCCUAAGAUCCCACUUAACGAAUUCACAGAUCAAUGGUCAGCCGCCGGAGCCAGCAGUGCAGAAAGAAGGGGAAUAGCCCGGGACCCUCAAGGCGAAGGAGGGUGGAAGAGGGUCCCUUAACUGGUUUCUUUCUCCACUCCUCUCCGUCCCCACUGGGAAAGGUGUUCGCCUCCAGCAGGCGAUGGUGGAGUGGGUUCUAGCCAGGAAUGCGCCCUGAAAUCAGACCUCUCGGCUUUCCUUAAAAAGCCCCUUUGUCCGGUCCACCCUGCUCCCCUCCCCCACCGCGCCCCUCCGCAUCCAGGCGGCCCGAGACUUUGCUCCUUUUGUUUGGCUGCUUUCUGGCUUCCCGGAACCUGGCCAGGGGAUCCACAGGCGUGGGGAAGGUCGAAGGAGAAGGGUUGAGGAGUCGGAAAUGUGCACUUUGGGUAGGAACUUGAAAUUCCCACCCCCUUUGUAAAUCACUCCGUUCCUGGUAGGGCCAGCUCUGCUCAGGCCACGGACCACGGGUUCAGGAGCUGGAGCCCCCCAGUUCACCCGCGCUGCGUCCCCCUAAGUUUUCCCCCUUACCUGUCCCAUGGAGCUCUGGCGCCGCCCGCCUGUCCCCGCGCCCCCCGUUCCUGCCUCGAAGCUUCAGGACCUGUUUGUCCAGGCCAUCUUCUCUCUCCCCGACCCUCCUCCCGGCCUUCCCUCCCGGGAGGUAUUUCAUUUAACUUCGGCAUUUGCAGCAUCCCAAAUGUUAAAGAUCCCAAGACAUCUGUCCCCUGGGGCAUACCAAGGCCCAGAGGAAAGAGGGGAAAGACGCAAGAAGGGAUUCGAGAUUCCGAUCCAAGAGUCGGGGCGGGACCCCAUGGCGGGGUGGUAAGAUGCCAGCGAGAAUGGGUACCCUUUGGGGACCCCGGCCCGGGGGGGCAGGACUGCCCCCUUCUCCCGCUUUGGGACGCCGGCGUGGCGGGACACCCCCGGCACUACCAGUUUCCUCCGCCCAGGCGGGAGGAGGCUCCUCUCUCCGGCCGAGGGCCGCCUUUCAUCCGCGCGCUCCGGCCUGGCCGGGGGCCGUUUCCAUUCCUGGAGACCCCGGGGUGAAAGAAAGAGCGGAGCCGGCAAGAGGGCGCCGCGCCCCUCCCCCGCAGGCCCCGUCCCCCUCCCCGCGAGUCCGCUUCCCCUUCGCUGGGCUCCGCGGUGCUGCCGAGCCACCGCGCGCUGGCGCAGCCGCAACCGCCUCCCCCUCCUCCGGCCCGAGCCCAGUCCUCCUCCUGGGCGCCGGCUGGCCGGGCUCCGCCGCGCAAGGAAAGGAGCCCACUCCCGGUGAGCGCCUCCUGCUGUUACCGCUAGCCUGGUGCCCUCCCUCCCUCCAUCCGUUCACUCACUCUCUCUCUCACUCACACGUCCCUGUUUUCAUUUGUGCGAGAAGUUUAUGGAGCACCUACGAGUGCCCAGCACGGUGGAUCAAAGUUCAAAUUCUUCCCUGGAUGAUUCCCCAACCUAGGCGAGUAAUCAAGUAGCAAUAGCAUCAAUGAAGCAAGGGCUGAAACUCAGAGCAGAGAGAGAGAGGCCGUGCGCGCGGCUGGGCCAGGCUGAGGGUCGCAAAGUCUGGCGGGAGAAGGCAUGCGCCCGGGGAACUGGCGGGAGAAUGCAAGAAGGACCUUGAGGCAGCUAUGACGGGAUAUACAAACGCAUAGUGGCAAAGAAGCACGGGGACCUAGGAGCUGCGCGGACCUUAGGGUGUCGGAUGAGGAGGGAGGAAAAGAAUGAACACAAAGACAAGGCUAAAGUGGCAGGCAGAGGUUCAUCAGGAAGCAGGGCAGCUCUGUCUGGUCGUCCACGUUUCCACCAUACUAAGAGGGAGGGCGCACCCGUGUUCCACCCACCAAGCUGUGUGCCCUGCCUAGAGGUGGUGGCUUUUUCUCAUUUGUACAUAAGGCACUAUAUGAGCUAAAUUGACUGAAGAGCCUCGUGGGCUAAGUAAGGAUUUAAGGUUUUUAUCCUGAAACUGAAGAGAAGCUAAUUGUAUUAGUCAAGGUUCUCUAGAGACACAGAAUCAAUAGGAUAUAUGUAUAUAAUACAUAUGAGAGAGAGAGAAAUGGAGAAAGAGAUUUAUUUUAAGGAAUUGUUUCAUUCUGUUGGAAAUGCCGUCGAGUCCAAAAUCUACAGGGUGGCCUGACGUGCUGGAGACCCAGAGAAGAUAGCAGUUCGAGUCCAGAGGCAGUCUGCUUGCAGAAUUCCUUCUUCAUCAGAGGCGGCCCAAGCAGACAUGAUCAUCUCCAUCCUUCAGAUGAAGAAAGUGAGGCUCCUGAGGCGGAGAGAUACCUCAGGACGGGCGGCCAGCUGGGACAGUGGGAGACCGGACCCAGGCUGACUUUAGCCCCAGCGCAUCAGCGGUUUCACAGCCCUUUGACAACUGCCCUUAAAAAAAAGGUUAUAGAAAAUUUCAAGAAUGAAGAGAGGGAGGAGAGAAAGAAUCUGCAAUUCCCUUACUUUGACACAAUCACUGCUAACAUUUAUUGAAUUCUCUACGCUUUCUUGUGUACCCUUUUCUCAAACAUACAUAAAAUGCAAUAAGCUUC